rnacentral:misc_RNA from 1 species
AAGGGAACCUGCGGCUGGAUCACCUCCUUAAAUUAAGAGCACUAAAGAAUUUAAAGUGCCCACACAGUUUGUUUUCGAGAUAAUGAAGAAUCCCAACCGCGACUGAGAAGAAGCGGAAAAGAUAUUCGAUCACGAGAUUGUUGUUGAUGUAAGUGAGGUGUUGUAGUGCCUCUCAAUAAACGCGAUGCUAAAUCGCAAGUCAAAAAAGCAAAGUGCAUCGAAGCAUUUUUGCGAGAGUUUUCGUGCAGGCGCGAGCAAGCGAAGGAGCAUGCAUCAGUAUGUGACCAAGCGAGCGAGUGGAUGCAAUGAAAACAAAUUUUGCGAGAGAUUUUGUUUUAAUCAAGGCGCAAGCGUGAAGGAGCAUACAUCAGUAUGUGACUGAACGAGCGAGUGCAUGCAACGUAGAGUAAAACAAAAGCUCGAAGCAAAAAAGUGAAAAUGGGUCUGUAGAUCAGUUGGUUAGAUCGCACCCCUGAUAAGGGUGAGGUCGGUGGUUCAAGUCCACCCAGACCCACCAAUCCUACGGAAUUCUUCAUUGGGAUUAUCCAGAUUAAAGUGCUUUUAUUUGAGGGCAUUUUAAUCUGGAAUGACCAGACGUUCAUUAAAAAUUAGGGUAAAUAAAGAGGUAACACAAGCGUCUUGUAUUGUGAAAGCAUGUAAUCUGAGGUAAUUGAGAUUAUAUGGUCAAGAAGAG